rnacentral:rRNA from 1 species
UCACCGGGGAAGAAACGCUGCAUUUUAAUAGAAUGCAGCCUGACUUAACCCGGAGAGGAAGCAGUGGCUAACUCUGUGCCAGCAGCCGCGGUAAUACAGAGACUGCAAGCGUUAUUCGGAUUCACUGGGCGUAAAGGGUGCGCAGGCGGCCAAGUGUGUGAGGCGUGAAAGCCCGGGGCUUAACCCCGGAAUUGCACCUCAAACUACAUGGCUAGAGCAUUGGAGAGGGUAGCAGAAUUCAUGGUGUAGCAGUGAAAUGCGUAGAUAUCAUGAGGAAUACCAGAGGCGAAGGCGGCUACCUGGACAAUUGCUGACGCUCAGGCACGAAAGCGUGGGGAGCAAAAGGGAUUAGAUACCCCUGUAGUCCACGCCCUAAACGGUGCACACUAGGUCUUGGCGGAUUCGACCCCGCCAGGGCCCAAGCUAACGCGUUAAGUGUGCCGCCUGAGGACUACGGCCGCAAGGCUA